rnacentral:rRNA from 1 species
GAUGAACGCUGGCGGCGUGCCUAAUACAUGCAAGUCGAGCGAACGGACGAGAAGCUUGCUUUUCUGAUGUUAGCGGCGGACGGGUGAGUAACACGUGGAUAACCUACCUAUAAGACUGGGAUAACUUCGGGAAACCGGAGCUAAUACCGGAUAAUAUUUUGAACCGCAUGGUUCAAAAGUGAAAGACGGUCUUGCUGUCACUUAUAGAUGGAUCCUCGCUGCAUUAGCUAGUUGGUAAGGUAACGGCUUACCAAGGCAACGAUGCAUAGCCGACCUGAGAGGGUGAUCGGCCACACUGGAACUGAGACACAUUCCAGACUCCUACGGGAGGCAGCGGUACGGAAUCUUCCGCAAUGGGCGAAAGCCUGACGGAGCAAAGCCGCGUGAGUGAUGAAGGUCUUCGGCUCGUAAAACUCUGUUAUUAGGGAAGAUCAUAUGUGUAAGUAACUGUGCACAUCUUGACGUUACCUAAUCAGAAAGCCACGGCUAACUACGUG